AUUGAACGCUGGCGGCAUGCCUUACACAUGCAAGUCGAACGGUAACGGGCCUUCGGGUGCCGACGAGUGGCGAACGGGUGAGUAAUACAUCGGAACGUGCCCGAUCGUGGGGGAUAACGAGGCGAAAGCUUUGCUAAUACCGCAUACGAUCUACGGAUGAAAGCAGGGGACCGCAAGGCCUUGCGCGGACGGAGCGGCCGAUGGCAGAUUAGGUAGUUGGUGGGAUAAAAGCUUACCAAGCCGACGAUCUGUAGCUGGUCUGAGAGGAUGAUCAGCCACACUGGGACUGAGACAUGGCCCAGACUCCUACGGGAGGCAGCAGUGGGGAAUUUUGGACAAUGGGCGCAAGCCUGAUCCAGCCAUGCCGCGUGCAGGAUGAAGGCCUUCGGGUUGUAAACUGCUUUUGUACGGAACGAAAAGCCUUCUUUUAAUACAGGAGGGUCAUGACGGUACCGUAAGAAUAAGCACCGGCUAACUACGUG
rnacentral:rRNA from 1 species